rnacentral:tRNA from 1 species
GGGGAGGUGCCAGAGUGGACGAUUGGGGCCGCCUGCUAAGCGGUUAACGUGAAAGCGUUCGCAGGUUCGAAUCCUGUCCUCCCCG